rnacentral:lncRNA from 15 species
CAGCUAGCCCGGUUCUGGGUAACAAGGCCUCAUGGGAGCAAACAACAAGGCCAGGGAGUUCAGAGGCCAAAGCAGGUGGUUGGCCUGUUCGAAGGGUGGCGGCGUCGUUGAAGGAAAGAAAAGCAUCCGUUCGCCUCCCUGGGUCUGAGAAACUCUCUGAUGCUCAUGCCGUCAGUGGACAGGGGGAACACAGGAUGACAGCAAGAGAUACAGACACAAAGACCACUGUGUUAGAAAGAGGUGGAUGUGAACAACCUUUUAUUGUCAGAGCGAUUCAGUCAUUGUUAAGGUCACAUAAAUGUUGUGUUUACAGAGAUUACUGAUAAUGCAGUUUUAAAUCUAUCACUUUCUGCAACCACCAUGUGUGCCACUACUGAGCUGUUAGUUAAUUCUGAUGCAUGAAAAUACAAACAUGGUGUGAAAUGAGUCCCUUGCAGUGGUUUCGCUCCUGUUUGAGCUGACUGCCUGAGCAUGAUCAAACAGGAUGGCUUAAACCCAACAAGCCAUGAUAAACCAGUCUUUUUUUACUGUGAGUGAAGUGAGUUCAGUGUUGUCCAACCACAGUAAAUUAUGGUUUAAGUGUUUUACAGUCCUGCACCAUACAGAUGGAUGUACGAUUUAAAACAUUAUACCGGCCGUGUAAAAGCGCUACAUUUUCUUCAGUGUCUGGCUCACACUGAGCUAGACUGUGUGACUGAUGGAUUUAAAGCCGUUACCUAAAACGAUGCAGAGAAGGUUGGAUCACUAAAAGGUAAAAUGUGUCCUUGUAACAACAACCUCUGUGUCAGUCAUUUGGUGUACAUCAUUGCAAGAGCUCGGCAUGUUAACUCUAUCUAAUCUUAUUUACUGUGUCCAUCUGUAUUCUUACUCAUCUCAGAACACCUCCAUGAGGGUGCUAUUACUUUUAGCGAGGGCUCUGUAAACCACAAAACACUGAGCCACUCAAGGUCACCCUGACUGCAUAUACUAUCAAAAUAUCACAUGAAGAUGACCAUUUGAAUCAGGAGGCAAAGCUGGUGAAGAGCCGAUGAUAUAAACCCAGUUGAUGAGUUUUUUGAUUUGUUACAAGAAGGGCAAAAUGUCUUUUUUAUGACAUAUUUGUCUCAUGCAAUCAUGAUUGCUUUUUUUUUGUAAAGCUACAGAGCUAUUUCCCUAACAUAUCCAAAGUAAUGUACUAAGUCAUUAUAAUGAAAAAUAAAAUGAGAUUUUUUUUAGUCAUGUUGAUGCACAAUCCAGAUGCACAUUUUCAUGGCCAGUCCUGAAAAACAUCAUGUAAUCUACCACAUGUCUACAAAAGUGCAUCUAUCAGUUUUAGUCAUUCUCAAAUACCUUUAUCAAUAAGGGUGAUAACAGCCCUGGGCUACAUCUGAUCAGACUGCAAAAAAAAGAUACAUGUGAUCUAUUAUAUUUUUAAAAAAAUCAAUCAAACAAAAAAAGAAAGAAAACCAUAAAACAACAAAACAAAAUGUAAAACAUAUUUGUGAAAACAAAGCAGUUGCUGAAUGGAAGUAGUAUGCAACAUUAGAUAAAGGAGGAUGUUUUUGGACGAUAUUAUAGUUUUACACUUGGUAAGAAAAUGAAAGAAAAAGUGUAACUAUUACAACCUCUAAAUAUGAAUAUACUGAACAUUUGACUUAA